AGAGCUGCUCAACUCACGAUUGUGUCAUGGGUGUCUCUGCAUGUUGCCCCGUUGUGUGAAGCUUUGAAAGUUAUCCUGGAUUAUCUUGGAGACUCCAAGAUGUUGGAGAUGCCAAAGCAGUGGGAUACCUGCCAAGGAAAGCUUCUCAUGGUGAUUGGAAUCAUCCCAAGAGACAGAAGAGCAAAUGGCUUUGGCAAGCUUCCCUACACAAUAACUGUACACUAACACAGAAUCAAGGGCGACUGAGCAAGAACUUUCCAGGGCUUCAAGGCUAAGGACACCAAUAAGGAAUCAAUCUGAAGAAGGCAGGUCGAUCAAGGAAAAGUGCAAGUACAUGAGAAUGUCACAACAUUCUACUAUAAAAAGGAGAAAAAGAAAAAGGAAACCCAAGAGCAACUGGCUUAAACACUAAAGAAAGU
rnacentral:lncRNA from 1 species